rnacentral:tRNA from 1 species
GGAUGUGGCUCAAGCAGCAGCACGCUCGCCUGGCAUGCAUGCGGCCUGGGUUCGAUCCCCAGCACCA